UACAGAGGGUGCGAGCGUUAAUCGGAAUUAUUGGGCGUAAAGGGAGCGUAGGCGGAUGUGCAAGUGGUAGGUGAAAUACCCGGGCUUAACCUGGGGAGGUCCUAUCAGACUGCAGGUCUAGAAUGUGGUAGAGGAAGGUGGAAUUCCUGGUGUAGCGGUGAAAUGCGUAGAUAUCAGGAGGAACACCGGUGGCGAAGGCGGCGUUCUGGACUGCAUCUGACACUGAAAGACGAAAGCCAGGGGAGCAAACGGG
rnacentral:rRNA from 1 species